ensembl:lincRNA
AGGUUUGAGUUGGUGGAGUGCGGAGGAAAAUUUUGCUCUCUGUAUUGCGGAAUCACAGUACUGUGGGUCCAAGAAGGGUAAUGGAUUUAAAAAGAAAUACUGAAGUAUUUCUAUUUCAGUAGAUUUUUUUGAGAAUAGUCAGUUGCAAACAAUCCCAAACUGGAGAACCCACAGCUCACGAAUACCUUAGGUGCUGAGAAUGCAGCGGAAAACAUUCACUGCCCCCGUGGAACUCCUGCAUUUUGUUGGCUGUUGGAGACCACUACAAAGUGGCCCUGAGCAGGAUUUAAUAUUAUCGAAUUGGCUGUCCGUGUUCACUUGUGAGUCUGUCCAGUGCCUAGGCUCCUUAUCUGGAAAUGGCGGACUCAAGAGACAUGAGACAGAGCCAAGCAUCCAUAGACUGAAACGUGUCCGCCAGGCAAAGUCAAAGGAGCGACCAAGGUGGCUGUUGAUGUGGGAUAUUGCCACAGGGUGCCUGUAUCUAUCAGAAUGAAGUGAGACAGAAGUCAUCCAAGAGAAGGUUGUGAAGCAGGAGGGGAAGGACCUGUUCACUGCUAGCAAGAUGUGGUCCGUGUACUUUGAUGAAAGCCUGCUGAAGGAAGCCUUUUGUAAAACCCUCUCGGAUGUGAAAUUGGACUCUUUGGACAGCUAUCUUAUUCAUUGGCCACAGGAAUUUCAGGCUUGGAAGGACUCAGCUCUUAAGAUGAUAAAGGCAAUAUCUUCAAGAGUAAAUUAACAUUCUUGGAUGCCAGAGAGACAGUGAGAGAGAGAGAGAACAAAGCCAAGCCAAUAUUCUUGUAGUCCCUCUAGGACUACUGUAUUCUUUCUGUGGCAGGUCAUGGUGGAGCUGGAGGACAAGGGGUAGGUGAAAGUGACAUAGAGGAAAUACAACUCCCAACAUGCUAAAUGUCUGAAACGCUGAGUUUGUGUUCUCCAAAAUUAAGUAAUGAAUUCUAGGGACAGUGGAGGUUAAGAAUCGGAGGAAUUUAUUGAGAGAAAGAAAGCUUUUGUCUAAGGGGGACAGAAGAGGGCCCAGAAAGUGAGUUGCCCCCAAAGCCUGCUUCUCAAGGGUGUUUAUUGAGCAAAGCCAUGAGGUGAACUGAGUUCAAGGUGGGACAGAACUACAAUCGAUCAAUAAGAUUACAAGGGUAGUUGCUUAGGUAAUAUUGAUCCAGUGGGGAAUCACAAGGUGGGUAUGAGGUGAGACAAGACCAUGGUGAACCAGUAAGGUUACAAGUACAGUUGCUUGGGUAGUACUGAUUAAAUGGGGAUCGCGCUGGGAAGAAAGUCACGCGGCAAGUGCACAUGGCACAGACAAGGACUUUCCCAGAAGGGGUGGGUGGAGGAGGUUUGGUCCCCACCCCAAGGUGAUGGGUGCCUACACAGAAUAUCAAUCACUGCUGUUCAUUGGUCCCUGUAAUGCACAUUGUAAGAACCAGUCCCCAUUGGACAAACCAUUCUGCCUCUGUACUUCCUGCUUGCUUAUCCCGCGUAAGCCCUAGACCACCAGAGACCUGGGCCUGAUAUUUGGGGAAUGAUCCUGAUCAGUGCCCCUUGACAUAACUGAUCUGCCCCACAUAAAUCCUGGGUGUAUUUUGGUGUUUCUGUUUGGUGUUGCAUCCUUCCUGUCAUAGCCUAUAGCCUCUCUGGAUUUUCCAGGACCUGGACUAAACCACAGGACCCUUCAUUACUGGAGGAUCCCAAGACUAAGAAGAUUAUUACAGGCCUGUAAUCUCAGAAGGCUGAGGCAGGAGGAUUGCCUCUAGUUCAAGACUAGCCUAAGUUCAAGGUGAAUUUCAACUGCAUAAAAAGACCCUGUCUAAAAAACAAAAUGGCAAACCCCCAAAAAAUCCCCUGCCCAGAUUUUUUUUUUGUACUGGGAAUCAAACUCAGGACCUUGCGCUUGCCAGGCAGGCACUUGUGCCACUGAAUUAUAUCCCUGGCCCCCAGAUCUUAAUCUAUUUCCAUAUCCAGAAGAAUUGGCCAUGUUCUCCAAGUCUGUGACAUCUAUAUGCAUUGCUGAGAGCUUUUGGGUCUUUGACUUUAAGCUGAAUGGUGAAGAGAGUCGGUGAGUCCUCAGACUGAAUAGAAACCGGAGGCCCUGUAUCAUGACUGACACAUGUUCAGAGUAUCCCUUCCCUGCUGAAUACUGAAGCUCAACCUCCUGAAAAGAUUACCAGGUAGAUUUCUCUCUCUGCUGGAGUGGCCCCUGCCCUAGUCCUGCUUUAGUCAAGUUUAUCUGACGUCACACUGUGUCUGGUCUGGCUGGGGGCCAGAGUCCAGGCAGUGUGGAAUUUAGAUUUGCAGGUUCAGCUAGGAGCACACUGUCCCAGCUAAGUAUGAUUCAGAUGAGCAAAUGCUAACCUUUCCCUACUUACUUGAUCUGACCAAAUGUUUGUUAAACACCAGGAAUUCUGCUGGUGUUGAAGACACAAAGAUAAAAAAUAGUAAUAGUUUAAAAAGUACAGGGUGCUGGGCGUGGUGACUCAUGCCUGUAAUCCCAGCCUGAGGAUCGUGAGUUUGAGACCAGCCUGGGAUACAAAGNNNNNNNNNNNNNNNNNNNNNNNNNNNNNNNNNNNNNNNNNNNNNNNNNNNNNNNNNNNNNNNNNNNNNNNNNNNNNNNNNNNNNNNNNNNNNNNNNNNNAAAAAAAAAAAAAAAAAAAAAAAAGAAAGAAAGAAAAAGUAGCUCAUUCAGAGAUAAGGAAAAAUUUUAAAAUGUAUAAUUUCUAAACCAAGAGAUUAUUUUUAUACCAGUUUUAUCUGACUUUAGUUUUAUGGCAAUUCUAAGUGACAAUUCAACUAUUUUUCUAAAGAAAAAUAAUCAAAUUAGAAAUUUGGUAAUUCUAGAUCAAACCUUUGUUGCAUUUCCCAGAAACUAUAAAAAUAAGUGAUUUGAAUGACAGAAUAAUAUGCACUUUUAUAAACCAAUUUAUUGUUCCAAUUUAUUGUUUCUAUCAGAAUUUAAGUUGGAGCUAGGUAGGUUAUCAUCAUUAAAAACUUUUUUUGACAACUGACUACUACUGAUCUUUGGCAUUUCACUUGGAAAGGGUUUAGAAAAUGAGUGGUAUUGCUAACAAAGCUUCCAUUCUCUACUUAUGUACAUAGAAGAACAAAGUUGUUUAGUAGUAAAAGCAUAAAUGGAAAACAAGAAUGGUUAAAUACUGGCUCAUUCCAUCAGUAAAGUAACAUUAACUCAUGAAUAAACAAAUUUUUCAACCCUCUACACAUUAAAAAAUACAAAGUGGCCGACUUCAGAAAUUUGUGAAGGAUGCAUGAGUUUUCAAAUUUCUUCUGCGAGAAUUCAAGCAAAAAUAUUUGGAGACAAUCUGAAGACAUAAACAGGGAAGAUUAUAAAUCAAUCAUGCAGCACCCUUACAGGAGGCCCUCAUCUAUUUUUAACUGUCCAGUUGGCAGACUUGGGCAGACAGCUGUAUGGGAUGGGCGGAGGUCGCCUGCGGGUGUGGAAGAUCACUGCAUUCGCUAGUUAUUUUUAGUUGUGAAACCCUCUUUUCAAUCCUCUAAUAUUAAAAAAACAAAACACUGUGCAUGAGACGCUAGGUUCAGUCCCUAGCACCAAAAAUAAAAUAAAUUAAAAAUUAAAGAACGUAUCUGAGAUGAGCAGUUUCACAUUCUGGGGUGUAAGUAGCUCCCAUUUUUGCUACAACGCAUGAAGCAGACCCUUCCAGGCAGCAGUUGUUCCAUUCUCAAAGCCAUCCUUUUGUCUGUCCGUAAGUCCUCGUGUAUUUACUGUCAGUGCUCGGGAGCAGGUGGGAGUGAAGGAGGUUGAUUCGGACCGCCUUGCUGGUGGCCUGUUGAAAAGUCCCCAUUUCCCUGUCCUCAGUUUGGAAGGCCUUCCCUGCAAGAUCGUUGUAUCCCCCAAUUCCGUUUUGUCCAGUUUUCAUGGGCAAUCUCACUUCUGUGGUGUUACUUCCGGUGGAAAGGGGUCUUCUCCAGCCGCCCAUCAACCCAGACUCAUUGCUUAU